rnacentral:rRNA from 1 species
UGGGGCAUGUGCACGCCUGUCAUCUUUAUUUCUCCAACUGUGCACAUAUUGUAGACCUGGAGUUUUUGUUCUGAAAUCAUUUUCGAGUUGGGACUGCUGUGCUUCAUUCAGUUGAAGUGGGCUUUUCCUUACAUUUCUGGGUCUAUGUCAUUUCACAACCUCAUUUAGAAUGUCGAACCUAUAAAAGUUAAAUAUACAACUUUCAGCAACGGAUCUCUUGGCUCUCGCAUCGAUGAAGAACGCAGCGAAAUGCGAUAAGUAAUGUGAAUUGCAGAAUUCAGUGAAUCAUCGAAUCUUUGAACGCAUCUUGCGCUCCUUGGUAUUCCGAGGAGCAUGCCUGUUUGAGUGUCAUUUAAGUUCCUCAACCACAUCAAUUUUGUCUUGAUGCGGCUUGGAUGUGGGGGUUUGCAGGGUUCUUUUGAAGUCUGCUCCCCUGAAAUGCAUUAGUGGUGUCUGAGCAGAUAUACUACAGGUGUGAUAAAUAUCUACAUCCUAGUAUGCUGUGGAUUGAACCGCUUUCUAAUAGAGUGAAGGCCCCUUGAGCCUUCACAUUUGAUGAAUUUGACCUCAAAUCAGUAGGACUACCCGCUGAACUUAAGCAUAUCAUA